CGAUAAAAACUAUUUCUAACUACUAAAUAAAACUAACUUUUCAUUUAUUUGACUAUAACUAAUUUAAUUUAUUUUUAUAAUCCCGCUACUUUAACACCGUAUCCCGCGAUCACCGACACCAGAAUGGCCUUUUUUCGCCAUCGCUUCGCUCGUCUCGAUCGCUUCUCACUCUCUUCUCAUAAAAUGUUCUCGCUGAGUGUCAGCCGCCCGAACAUGCCGCCGAUGCCGCCUUCAGCUCCAUCUACACGUAGCCGGUUGUGUAGAGAACUUGUUGCGGCUAAGGUCGCUACACAUCAUUACACUUUUUUUUUUUAACGAAAGUGCUGCAAGAAAAUUUUUUAUAGUGCCGUUUUUUUCAUGCAAAUCGAUAUCGCCUUAUCAAUUGAUAUCUCUGGUUUUCGCAUCAUUUCCGCCUGAACGACCCUCGUGGUGCAGUCUCGCUAUUAAUCAUCUGAAGUUGCUCGUACUCGCAAUAUACGUAAAUAGUGUCGUUUGGGGUUUGAAUCUCCGUGAUAUUCAGGAAUGCAUAGCAUUGCCUUUUCCGUUGGGAAUUCGUAAGCCAUUUUUGAAAAUGACGCGUUCAACGCUCUAUCGAUUUCAAGGCUUUGAUUUAAUAAUUCUCCUUUGAGAACUUGGAGGCGUUUUUGGUAAUUAUAUUGUGUGUUUAGACAACUUUCACUAUUUGCCGUGGAGUUUAGUUGCGGUAAUGAUGGAUUAAUAUUAUUUACACUUUUUGAAUGAACCUGAACAGAUCUGUUCCUAAGUGCCAACACCCUUGGGUUCAUUACCCUCUACGUAAGCGUAAAGAAUGAAGGAUUAAUAAAAAUGAUACUUAAACUACUGUA